GUGGGGAAUAUUGGACAAUGGGGGCAACCCUGAUCCAGCCAUGCCGCGUGAGUGAUGAAGGCCUUCGGGUUGUAAAGCUCUUUUGGCGGGGACGAUGAUGACGGUACCCGCAGAAUAAGCCCCGGCUAACUUCGUGCCAGCAGCCGCGGUAAGACGAAGGGGGCUAGCGUUGUUCGGAAUUACUGGGCGUAAAGCGAGUGUAGGUGGUUGUCAUAGUCAGGCGUGAAAGCCUUGAGCUCAACUCAAGAAAUGCGCUUGAUACUGGGCAGCUAGAGGACCGGAGAGGAUAGUGGAAUUCCCAGUGUAGUGGUGAAAUACGUAGAGAUUGGGAAGAACACCAGUGGCGAAGGCGGCUAUCUGGACGGUUUCUGACACUAAGACUCGAAAGCGUGGGGAGCAAACAGGAUUAGAAACCCGAGUAGUCC
rnacentral:rRNA from 1 species